rnacentral:rRNA from 1 species
UACGUAGGGUGCGAGCGUUAAUCGGAAUUACUGGGCGUAAAGCGUGCGCAGGCGGUUUUGUAAGCCAGAUGUGAAAUCCCCGGGCUCAACCUGGGAAUGGCAUUUGGGACUGCAAGGCUGGAGUGCGGCAGAGGAGACUGGAAUUCCUGGUGUAGCAGUGAAAUGCGUAGAUAUCAGGAGGAACACCGGUGGCGAAGGCGGGUCUCUGGGCCGAUACUGACGCUGAGGAGCGAAAGCGUGGGGAGCGAACAGG